rnacentral:rRNA from 1 species
GACAGAGGGGGCAAGCGUUGCUCGGAAUUACUGGGCGUAAAGGGCGCGUAGGCGGCUUUAUAAGUCGGGGGUGAAAGCCUGUGGCUCAACCACAGAAUUGCCUUCGAUACUGUAGAGCUUGAGACCGGAAGAGGUAAGUGGAACUGCGAGUGUAGAGGUGAAAUUCGUAGAUAUUCGCAAGAACACCAGUGGCGAAGGCGGCUUACUGGUCCGGUUCUGACGCUGAGGCGCGAAAGCGUGGGGAGCAAACAGG